rnacentral:tRNA from 2 species
UGGAACGUAGCUCAGCAGGUCAGAGCAGCUGGCUUAUAUCCAGCGUGUCGAGGGUUCAAGUCCUUCCGUUCCAA